rnacentral:rRNA from 1 species
AUAAUUAUUAAUAUAUAGAAAAGAAAAAUAAUAGUAUUAGGGAAAUUAAUUUAAAAUUAAAAUGUGUUAGUAUUGUUUAAAGAAACCAUAUGUGGGGGUAACUGUAAAGGUAUAUUGAAAUAUAAAAAUAAAAAUUUAGAUAAAAGUAAAUAAAUAUUGUACCUUUUGUAUCAGGGUUUAUUAAAAAGAAUUAUAAAAUAAAUAAAAUCCCGAAUUAAAAAGAGCUAUUAAUUAUAGUUUUUUUAUGUAGAAAAAUAAUAAGUAAAUAAUUAAUAGGGAUGAAAGGUCAUUCGAGUUUUAAGAUUUCUGGUUAUUUAAUAAAUAGAUUUAAUCUAAUUUUAUAUAAAAAAUAAUUAAUUAAUUAAGAUAAAAAUAUAUAAAAUAAAUAUUAAGAGGGACAAGCUUUUUAAUAAAAGUAUAUUAAUAAAAUAAGAAAUAAAUAUAGGCUUGUAAAUGGCCAUUAUUAAUAAUAUGUAAUAAUUAAUUUUUAUAGGAAAAAUAUUUAAAGUUAAUUACUGGAAUAUUAAAUAAUAAAAAUUAAUUAAAAAUUUUUAAAAAUAAUGAUAAAAUUAAUAAAAUGAAAAAAGUUUAAAUAAGGAACUCGGCAAAAAUAAAGUUUGACUGUUUAACAAAAACAUAGCUUCUUGAAUUUAUGGGAGGUAUAACCUGCCCACUGAAAAUUUGAAGGGCCGCGGUAUUUUGACCGUGCAAAGGUAGCAUAAUCAUUAGUCUUUUAAUUGGAGGCUGGAAUGAAGGGUUGCACAUAACUAAAGCUGUCUCAUUUAAAAUAGUGAAUUUAACUUUUAAGUGAAAAGGCUUAAAUACAUUAAGGGGACGAGAAGACCCUAUAGAGCUUUAUUAAUAAAAUAUUUAUAUUUUUAGAAGAAUUUUAAUGUAAAUUUUUUAAUUAAUUAUAUUGGGGUGAUAAGAAAAUAAUAAAACUUUUCUAAAAAUAACAAUAAUGUUUGGGUUAAAGAUCCUUUCUUAAGGAUUAUAAGAUUAAGUUACCUUAGGGAUAACAGCGUAAUUCUUUUGGAGAGUUCUUAUCGAUAAAAGAGUUUGCGACCUCGAUGUUGGACUAAGAAUAGUAUUAGGGGCAGCCCCUUAAGAUGCUAGGUCUGUUCGACCUUUAAAUUCUUACAUGAUCUGAGUUCAGACCGGCGUGAGCCAGGUCGGUUUCUAUCUUUUAAAUUGAAAUCACUUUUUUAGUACGAAAGGACCAAAGAGUGGGGGAUUACUUAAUUUCAAGAAUAAGUUUAAAUG